GUAAGGAAUAUUGGUCAAUGGACGCAAGUCUGAACCAGCCAUGCCGCGUGGAGGAUGAAGGUCCUCUGGAUUGUAAACUUCUUUUAUCUGGGACGAAAAAAGGGUUUUCUAACUCGUCUGACGGUACCAGAUGAAUAAGCACCGGCUAACUCCGUGCCAGCAGCCGCGGUAAUACGGAGGGUGCAAGCGUUAUCCGGAUUCACUGGGUUUAAAGGGUGCGUAGGCGGGCAUUUAAGUCAGUGGUGAAAUACCUGAGCUUAACUUGGGAACUGCCAUUGAUACUAUUUGUCUUGAAUGUCGUGGAGGUUAGCGGAAUAUGUCAUGUAGCGGUGAAAUGCUUAGAUAUGACAUAGAACACCUAUUGCGAAGGCAGCUAACUACGCGAAUAUUGACGCUGAGGCACGAAAGCGUGGGGAUCAAACAGGAUUAGAAACCCCAGUAGUCC
rnacentral:rRNA from 1 species